rnacentral:tRNA from 1 species
AUUUAGUUAGUUUAAAAAAAAUUUUGAUUUGUGGAAUCAAGGAUAUAAUUAUUAUACUAAAUU